AUACGGAGGGUGCAAGCGUUAAUCGGAAUCACUGGGCGUAAAGCGCGCGUAGGCCGCCUUCUAAGUCGGACGUGAAAGCCCUCGGCUCAACCGAGGAACUGCGUUCGAAACUGGGAGGCUUGAGUCCUGGAGAGGGUGGCGGAAUUCCGGGUGUAGGAGUGAAAUCCGUAGAUAUCCGGAGGAACACCGGUGGCGAAGGCGGCUUCCUGGACUGUAACUGACGCUGAGGCACGAAAGCGUGGGGAGC
rnacentral:rRNA from 1 species